rnacentral:tRNA from 1 species
AAAGCAGUAUUUGAUUAUACCAACUUUGGAAGUUGGCGGAUAGAGGUUAUCUACUUUUA